rnacentral:rRNA from 1 species
GACGAACGCUGGCGGCGUGCUUAACACAUGCAAGUCGAACGGAAAGGCCCUGCUUUUGUGGGGUGCUCGAGUGGCGAACGGGUGAGUAACACGUGAGUAACCUGCCCUUGACUUUGGGAUAACUUCAGGAAACUGGGGCUAAUACCGGAUAGGAGCUCCUGCUGCAUGGUGGGGGUUGGAAAGUUUCGGCGGUUGGGGAUGGACUCGCGGCUUAUCAGCUUGUUGGUGGGGUAGUGGCUUACCAAGGCUUUGACGGGUAGCCGGCCUGAGAGGGGGACCGGCCACAUUGGGACUGAGAUACGGCCCAGACUCCUACGGGAGGCAGCAGUGGGGAAUAUUGCAGAAUGGGCGGAAGCCUGAUGCAGCAACGCCGCGUGCGGGAUGACGGCCUUCGGGUUGUAAACCGCUGUCGCCGGUGACGAAGCGUGAGUGACGGUAAUGGGUAAAGAAGCACCGGCUAACUACGUG